ACUCUCCGGCAACGGAUAUCUCGGCUCUCGCAUCGAUGAAGAACGUAGCGAAAUGGCGAUACUUGGUGUGAAUUGCAGAAUCCCGUGAACCAUCGAGUCUUUGAACGCAAGUUGCGCCCGAAGCCGUUAGGCCGAGGGCACGUCUGCCUGGGCGUCA
rnacentral:rRNA from 1 species